AUUUAUAUAAUAUAUUUAGUAUAUUUGACUUCCAAUCAAAAAGUUUAAUAAUCUUAAUAUAAAUA
rnacentral:tRNA from 2 species